rnacentral:rRNA from 1 species
AUGCCGACGCCGGUGGCCGCGGCGCGGCAGUGCCUCUCUCCGGCCGCCGUCACCGCCCUCGACGCGGCCGUCGUCUCCGCGCGCUGCCGCGCCCACGCGCAGACAACCUCGCUCCACCUCAUCUCCGCCCUGCUCGCGCCUCCCGCCCCGCCGCUCCUCCGCGACGCGCUCGCGCGGGCACGCAGCGCCGCCUAUGCCCCGCGCGUCCAGCUCAAGGCGCUCGAGCUCUGCUUCGCGGUCUCGCUCGACAGGCUCCCCUCCGCCUCCUCCUCCUCCUCUGCCUCCGGCGCCGACGACGCGGAGCCGCCCGUCUCCAACUCGCUCAUGGCGGCCGUCAAGCGCUCGCAGGCCAACCAGCGCCGCAACCCGGACACCUUCCAUUUCUACCACCAGGCGGCCACCGCGCAGGCCCCCGCCGCCGUCAAGGUCGAGCUCUCGCAGCUCGUGCUCGCCAUCCUCGACGACCCCCUCGUCAGCCGCGUCUUCGGCGACGCGGGCUUCCACAGCGGCGACAUCAAGCUCGCCAUCCUCCGCCCUGCGCCGCCCAUGCCCAUGCUCGGCCGCCUCCCCACGCGGAGCCGCCCGCCGCCUCUCUUCCUCUGCAGCUUCGCCGCUGCCGACGACGCCGAUGUGCCCUCGCCAGCUGCAGGGAGCCUCGCCAGCGGCACCGGGGAGGAGAACUUCCGCCGCAUCCGCGAGGUUCUCGCCCGAGGCCGCAAUCCCAUGCUCGUCGGCGUCGGGGCUGCCUCCGCCGCUGCCGACUUCGCCGCCCUCUCGCCGUACCGUGUCCUCUCCGUCGGUCCAAGCUCCAUCGACCAGACGGAACUUGGCGUGGCGGCCGCCAUGGCCAGCGCCACCUCCGGCCUCAUCAUAAACAUCGGUGACCUCAAAGAACUGGUCCCUGACGACGGCGAGCUCCAAGAGAUGGGGCGCCGGGUGGUGGCGGAGGUGACGCGAGUGCUGGAGACGCACAGAGCUGGCCGUGUCUGGGUGAUGGGGUGGUCGGCCACGUACGAGACCUACCUCACCUUCUUGUCCAAGUUCCCCUUGCUCGACAAGGAUUGGGAGCUCCAGCUGCUACCGAUCACGGCAGUGCGCGCCGGAGGCAGCCCCGCUGCGCUCAUCCCUCAGGCAACCACCGCCGCGGCUUUCUCCAAGCCUGCAAGCUUUAUGGAUUCGCUCAUUCCUUUUGGAGGACUUGUCAGUGAUUCCUACGAAGCUAACAGCCUCACAGCAAAUUCUUGUCCUCCGGCCCUUCGGUGUCAACAGUGCAAUGAUAGAUAUGAGCAAGAAGUUGCUACUAUCAUUAGAGGAAGUGGCAUUACAGCUGAAGACCAUCACCAGGGAGGUCUACCUUCGCUGCUGCAGAAUGGCAGCAUGAUAGGUGCUAACAAUGGAUUUGAUGCAGUCAAGGUUAGAGAUCAGAUGGUAUUGAAUUCAAAAAUAUCGAAUCUAAAGAAGAAGUGGAACGAGUAUUGCCUACGGCUCCACCAAGGCUGCCAUAGGAUCAACAGUGUUCCAUACCAGUUAUUUCCGCAUUAUAUUGGUGUUCCAGCCAAUGGGGAAAGAGCAGAAAAUCUGAGCAAAGGUCCUGAAUCAGUUGAACUUCAAAGGGAGGUUAUUAGACCUUCUGUAGUGUCUGUUCCACAUACCAAUGCUACCACAACGAGUAUUUCACCCCCAUCUAUCUCUAACCAAAGGACUGACAACCUUACAUUGGAACUUCAAGCUGGGUUUUCAAAGAGUGAUGAAAAGCAGUCCCGACAUGAAACCCUGUCAUACUGUCAUGAUGGCGAAGAUCACGUGUCACCAUCAUCCGCUGCAUCUGUGGCGACUGACUUGGUUUUAGGCACGCCUCGUGAAUCUUCUUCCAACGGUACAAAUUCUGCCAGCUGCAAACAUGUAACUGAUGCAGAGAUAUCUGUACCCAAGAAAGUUGAUGAUUUGAAUCUGAAGCCUCCGCAGAUCUUUGCACAACCCUUUGCUUGUUCCAAGAGUUCCACAAAUAUGGGGCAAACAUCACCUAGUGCUCGGCAUUCAGCAGCUUCUGGAGGUUUGUCUGCUUUUGGUCAUUGGCAGCAACCUUCACACCUCGCAGCACAAGGUUCUGAUUUGAGUAAUUACAAGCUACUUGUGGAACGCCUGUUCCAGGUUGUUGGAAGGCAGGAGGAAGCCUUGAGUGCUAUUUGUGGUUCCAUUGUGCGGUGCAAGUCAAUGGAGAGGCGCCGUGGUGCAAGCAGGAAAAAUGACAUUUGGUUUAGCUUUCAUGGUUCUGAUUGCAUGGCCAAGCGCAGAGUUGCUUUGGCGCUUGCAGAGCUCGUACAUGGCAGCAAAGAGAACAUGAUUUACCUGGACCUGAGUCUCAAGGAUUGGGCCGACUCAAGUUACAGAGGAAAGACUGGCACUGACUAUAUUGUUGACGAGCUGAGCAAGAAACGGCGAUCUGUCAUCUUCCUUGAUGAUGUCGAUAAAGCUGACUGCCUUCUCCAGGACACUCUGACUCAUGCCAGUAAGACUGGUAGAUUCCGAGACUUGCGUGGCAAGGAAGUUGACAUUAAUGACUCCAUUGUUGUGCUGUCAACAAGAACAACCAGAGGCUCCAAAAGUGUGUCUGUUGGAGUGGAAGAGGGUCUUACUUUCACUGAAGAUAAGAUCCUGGCAGCUAGUGGACAUCAACUGAAGAUCCUGGUAGAAUCAUGUACAGCGAUCAGCAGUGAAGGCCAGGGUGAUAAGGUGAUAGUUUCCCCCGGGCACCCUCUCGCCAAAAUUCGUGCAUCUUUGUGCUGUGGGGGUUCAGUCAGCAAGAGAAAGUUCAACAUUUCUGAUGACCAAGAAAAGCUGCAGGAGGAAUCACCGAGCAUUUCCAAGCGACUGCACAGAACAUCAAGUGUUCCGUUCGACCUGAACCUCCCCAUCGACGAGGAUGGUUCGAGCGAUGCUGAUGACCACAGCGGCAGCAAUGACAACUCAUAUGGCACUCCAGAGAGGUCCAUGGACAGCCUCUUGUGUUUGGUUGACGAGCCCAUCGAUUUCAAGCCAUUCGACUUUGACAAAGUCGCCGACUACGUGCUGCAGGAGUUGAGCAAUACACUCCACAAAGUUCUGGGCUCCGGCUGCACACUGGAAAUUGAUGUCGGUGCAAUGGAGCAGAUAAUUGCAGCGGCAUGGGCAUCAGAGGGUAAGAGGCCUCUCCAGGCCUGGCUGGAUCAGGUGUUCGCUGGAAGCCUUGGGGAACUGAACGUCAAGUGUGGUAAGCAUGCCAGCAGUUCCACUCUUACACUAGUGGCCUGUGAGGACAUGGCAGCAGUCAGGGAAGACAAUGGUUUUGGAGGUUUGCUCCCCUCCAGAAUAAUUCUAGAAUGGUGA